AUUGAACGCUGGCGGCAUGCUUUACACAUGCAAGUCGAACGGCAGCGGGGGCUUCGGCCCGCCGGCGAGUGGCGAACGGGUGAGUAAUGCAUCGGAACGUGCCCAGUCGUGGGGGAUAACACAUCGAAAGAUGUGCUAAUACCGCAUACGUCCUGAGGGAGAAAGCGGGGGAUCUUCGGACCUCGCGCGAUUGGAGCGGCCGAUGUCGGAUUAGCUAGUUGGUGGGGUAAAAGCCCACCAAGGCGACGAUCCGUAGCGGGUCUGAGAGGAUGAUCCGCCACACUGGGACUGAGACACGGCCCAGACUCCUACGGGAGGCAGCAGUGAGGAAUAUUGGUCAAUGGACGCAAGUCUGAACCAGCCACGUCGCGUGAAGGAAGACGGCCCUACGGGUUGUAAACUUCUUUUAUACGGGAAUAAAGUGCCCCACGCGUGGGGUUUUGCAUGUACCGUAUGAAUAAGGAUCGGCUAACUCCGUGCCAGCAGCCGCGGUAAUUCACACU
rnacentral:rRNA from 1 species